rnacentral:rRNA from 1 species
UACGUAGGGUGCGAGCGUUGUCCGGAAUUAUUGGGCGUAAAGAGCUCGUAGGCGGUUUGUUGCGUCGGCCGUGAAAACUCAGGGCUUAACUCUGAGCCUGCGGUCGAUACGGGCAGACUUGAGUUCGGUAGGGGAGACUGGAAUUCCUGGUGUAGCGGUGAAAUGCGCAGAUAUCGGGAGGAACACCAGUGGCGAAGGCGGCACUCUGGGCCAGUACUGACACUGAGGAGCGAAAGCGUGGGGAGCGAACAGG